GUAGGUGGCAAGCGUUGUCCGGAAUUAUUGGGCGUAAAGCGCGCGCAGGCGGUUCUUUAAGUCUGAUGUGAAAGCCCACGGCUCAACCGUGGAGGGUCAUUGGAAACUGGAGAACUUGAGUACAGAAGAGGAAAGCGGAAUUCCACGUGUAGCGGUGAAAUGCGUAGAGAUGUGGAGGAACACCAGUGGCGAAGGCGGCUUUCUGGUCCGUAACUGACGCUGAGGCGCGAAAGCGUGGGGAGCAAACAGGGAUUAGAUACCCUGGUAGUCCACGCCGUAAACGAUGAGUGCUAAGUGUUAGGGGGUUUCCGCCCCCUUAGUGCUGCAGCUAACGCAUUAAGCACUCCGCCUGGGGAGUACGGCCGCAAGGCUG
rnacentral:rRNA from 1 species